rnacentral:lncRNA from 1 species
ACAACUUCAAUUUAAUAAAGACAAGCAUGACAUUAACUCCAUAAUUUCAGCCCAAAGUUGUGCAACAAGAAUCCUCAAUUUAAGGAAGUCAGCUCCCUAUUUGUCUAUUGACUUUCUUGGACUUGAAUCAUGCUUAUUAUGGGCUGGAUAUUUUGUUCAUCACCAUCAAUGGGCCUCUACUUGCUUGUUUGAGCCCAAAUUC